AUUCUCUCCCUAACAAGCUUUUUCCCAAGAACACAUGCUGUUUUCUACUUUGAAAAGAUCUAUUCAAAUGCCAAAGCUGGAAAGAUAAACCGAAAUGUGAUGGUGGCUUAACAGCAACUGGAAACACUCUGCACAAUCAGAACUCAGUAAAUAGGAGAUAUGCACAGUUUACUACUGCCCUCUGCUGCAUGAAAGAUGAUGAGAGAGAUUACAAAAGAUGGAGGGGACAUUGUGAACAACAAUGAGAAGCUUGGAACGUUCUUGUGAGUUAAACCACAGGUACAGUACAAUUAGUGUUAAGCAAAACACUAAAACCAGUAUAUCU
rnacentral:lncRNA from 1 species